UCUAUGUGCGGGGUUAUUUGUGUAUCAUUCCAGUCACGGUAUUGUGCCUUUUUUUGUUAUUUAUGAUGAGGGUAAUGAUCAUCAAGGAUUAAGAUGAUGAGGGUAAUUAUUAUCUAGGAUGAGAUGAUGAGGGUAAUGUCAUCUAGGAUGAGAUGAUGAGGGUAAUGAUCAUCAAGGAUGAGAUGAUGAGGGUAAUGAUCAUCUAGGAUGAGAUGAUGAGGGUAAUGAUCAUCCUAGAAUGAGAUGAUGAGGGUGAUGAUCAUCAAGGAUGAGAUGAUGAGGGUAAUUAUUAUCUAGGAUGAGAUGAUGAGGGUAAUGAUCAUCAAGGAUGAGAUGAUGAGGGUAAUGGUCAUCAAGGAUGAGAUGAUGAGGGUAAUGAUCAUCUAGGAUGAGACGAGACUUUGCUAAGUGUAAUGAAUGUGAUGGAUUGUAUUAUAUGACCAGUCUUAAUGUUCAACAUUGUUGAGAAUUAACUGAAAUUAAUUAGAGUUUACUUGGUAAGUAUUUUUUUUUUUUGCACUUGUAUUUUAGUACAUGUUCAAGAGCAUUACAACCACAGGUACUAAGUAUAAAAAUAGAUCUUCAUAAAUUGAUGUAUUUUAGCCCAUGUUUUGAAGUUGCUAUUGUAUUGUUAGGUGUGUAUGUUAAUGAAGUAAAAUAUGUUGUUAGACUAA